AAAAAGAGAGUGCUUCAGCAUGACUCAGCGACCAGGACUGUCCAACACGCCCCCGACCUCCAGACAAUUGAGGAGUUGUCCAUCUGGGGACACACAGCAGUGACAAGGACGUAGCCUUUCCUAAUCCCUGAAGAGCUCUUCCGCAGGUGUGUCCCCGGUUUACUGUCUCCUUCUCAGCAGUCACCUGGUCCACAACUCUCGAAACGCCCCCACCUCCUUCGCUUCCAGACUCUGCGCUCCCAAAACAACCACACAGGGUCACUUCGUGAUCAAAUCGACUUUUACAACUAGUGCUUGGGCCAGGGGAGUGGAGUCUUUACAAGGUACUCUGAAGGGCAAUUCCAGCAGAAUGUACAUUCCAUGACAUCUGGGACUUUGAUGCGUUGCCCCAGAAGAUAAUACCAGUACCUACAGCAUGUUCACCUAAGCACUGGUCAAGUGGAUAUUACUCAACCAGAAUGCAAACAUUUCUAUUGGUUUUAGUAAGACCUGAAAGAGGCUGGGCGCGGUGGCUAACGCCUGUAAUCCCAGCAGUUUGGGAGGCUGAGGCGGGCGGAUCAUGAGGUCAGAUGAUCAAGACCAUCCUGGCUAACAUGUGAAACCCCCUCUCUACUAAAAAUACAAUAAAAAAAAAAAAUAGCCGGGCGUGGUGGCAGGCGCCUGUAAUCCCAGCUACUCGGGAGGCUGAGGCAGCAGAAUGGCAUGAACCAGGAAGGUGGAGCUUGCAGUGAGCCGAGAUAGCGCCACUGCACUUCAGCCUGGGCAACAGAGCGACUGUCUCAAAAAAGACCUGAAAGCAGC
rnacentral:lncRNA from 10 species